rnacentral:rRNA from 1 species
AAUCAACGCUGGCGGCGUGCCUAACACAUGCAAGUCGAACGCGGUUACCCCGCAAGGGGUGACUGAGUGGCGAACGGGUGAGUAACGCGUGGGUGACCUACCUUCGAGUGGGGGAGUAACGUCCCGAAAGGGACGCUAAUACCGCAUAACAUCCUCUUCUUGAACAGAGGGAGAUCAAAGCCGGGGAUCGUAAGACCUGGCGCUUGAUGAGGGGCCCGCGUCUGAUUAGCUAGUUGGUGAGGUAACGGCCCACCAAGGCAACGAUCAGUAUCCGGCCUGAGAGGGCGGACGGACACACUGGGACUGAGACACGGCCCAGACUCCUACGGGAGGCAGCAGUGGGGAAUUGUUCGCAAUGGGCGCAAGCCUGACGACGCAACGCCGCGUGAGGGAUGACGGCCUGGUGU